ensembl:lncRNA
GCACCACCCGGUACUCUGCCCUGUACCACCCGGUACACUACCCUGCACCACCCGGUACACUACCCUGUACCCCACCCGGUACUCUACCCUGCUACUACCACCCGGUACACUAACCUGCUACUACCACCCGGUACACUACCCUGCUACUACCACCCGGUACUCUACCCUGCUACCACCACACUACCCUGCUACCCCCGGUACAAUACCCUCCACCUGGUACACUACCCUGCACCACCCGGUACUCUACCCUUCACCACCCGGUACACUAGCCUGCACCACCCGGUACUCUACCCUGCACCACCCGGUACUCUACCCUGCACCACCCGGUACUCUGCCCUGCACCACCCGGUACUCUACCCUGCUACUACCACCCGGUACUCUACCCUGCACCACCCGGUACUCU